UCCCAGAAGCCAGAAAAGCAAGAGGGAUUGCUGCUUUCGCUGCGCAGCGAUCCCUCUUGCUGUUCUGGCUUCUGGGA
rnacentral:miRNA from 1 species